rnacentral:lncRNA from 1 species
UUAGAGGCAUUGCUCUAACCUAGCAGGGAGGCCUGCUUCCUUUACAUGGACUAUCCAGGCAUUUGCCUGUGAAAUUUAAAUACCCCAUGCCCUAUUCACUUAUAUAGACUGUGGAUUGACAUGGCCUUUCUCUCUGUGUAUGUGUGUCUGACUUUUCCUUCCGGCCUCAUGUGACCUGGGGAUGAAGGAAGACUGCCCUCCUGACUCAUCACACUCUCUCUGCCCAGGAUCUGCAAGUAUGUCCUUCUGCUUUACACCAUGGAAUGGUGCAGCAUGAUGGCCUUUGCAAGAUGUAGUCACCUUGAUAUUGCACUUUCCAGCCUCCAGAACUGUGAGAAACAAAUUUUCUUUCCUGGCUGUUAUAGCAACACAAAAUGGACUAAGACAUAAGAUCAUACUCAAAAUCUACUGAAUCAGAAUUUCUGAAGGUUUUAAGUUGCAUUUCAGUGAAAAACGGUGUCCUAUUGUCUUGUCUGUGAUUGGUGUCGGGUACUGGAUAUGGUAUGUUGUAUUCCUCACAGCACUUCAGCAUAAUACCUUGUACUUAGAAAAUAUUCAAUAAAUAUCUGUUGAAUAAACAAAAACACUAGAUACUGCCA